UGACAUGUUGUCCAUCCAAUCAUAGGAUUAGGAUCAUGCUAACAAUGUAGUUGAUUUUUUUGUUGAAGAACCCCUUUAUUGCCGCAUCGAUCAUGUAAUGGAUGAAUGAAUGAACGUCUGUGUAUUCGAACUGCGCAACUUAACGAGAAGGACCUGAGCCCUAGGACCAUGCCUCAGGACUAUCUGGUUUGAUAACUCCUUGCUGCCCCCAGUCCACCUGGCAGUGCUGCUGCUCCAGUUUCAACUGUUCUGCCUGCGGCUAUGGAAUCCUGAUCUGUUCACCGGACGUGCUACCUGUCCCAGACCUGCUGGGACAGGUAGAGGUAGAGAUAGAGACAGCAGGAGAGCGAUGGUGUCAGUGCUAGUUGCUCUCUACAGAGAUGAAGUAAAAGAAGCCACACCUCUGGAACCUUAAUGUUCCAUUUGGAGAAACCAUCCAGGUCAACUACUCUGUGUGAGCUACCGACAGGUUGUGUUGUAGAACCAGGUGAGAAAUGAGCCCUGGCAGAAUGUACAUAGGAUUUGGGGACAAACAUUGUCUAAAGGUUUUCGAAACCAUUCAGCAUGCCAAUGUCAAUCACUGUGUAAAUGUUGAGGAAAUAGCUUUGCGACAGGUAUAGAUCGAAUGUCAGCCAAGGACUCUACUUCAAUUUUAGAAUCACCUUUUUGAUGUAUUGCCUAUAAAUCAUUCAAAAUAAAAAAGACAAAGACCAAAAGAGGAUGUUAUGAGUCAUAUGAUAAACCUAAAAUAUUUUGUAGACUUUUAUCACAGGAAUAAGUUGAUUAACUUGCUUAUUUGACAUCUGAACAAAAUCUACUUUGUCAGUGAAAGGCAAAUCAUAAUGGCCAACUCAGGCCUUUUUAUUGGCCAUCCACUUCCACAAUAUUGCCAUCAUCAGGCCUUUUUAUUGGCCAUCCACUUCCACAAUAUUGCCAUCAUCAGGCCUUUUUAUUGGCCAUCCACUUCCACAAUACUGCCAUCAUCAGGCCUUUUUAUUGGCCAUCCACUUCCACAAUACUGCCACAAUCAGGCCUUUUUAUUGGCCAUCCACUUCCACAAUAUUGCCAUCAUCAGGCCUUUUUAUUGGCCAUCCACUUCCACAAUGCUGCCAUAAUCAGGCCUUUUUAUUGGCCAUCCACUUCAACAGUACUGCCAUUAUACAGUGAUCUUAGUUCAAAGGGAGAUUAUUAACAUCAUAAUGUGCUCCUCUGUGUCUCUGCAUCAUAAAAUAAUCAUAUUUACA